rnacentral:tmRNA from 1 species
AACGAGAAACUAAAAAUAAACGCUAAAAACGAUAAUUUCGCUUUAGCUGCUGCCUAAUAUAGGCGGCCCGUCAGUCCAGGGUUCCUGCACCUUGGGUAGCUGGCGUCAUUAAGUCAGGCCUUUUGAGCGGGAAGGUUAAACUCUAGAACUGAUCAGCCAAAGCUUUGAGGUUGAUCCGAAUCUAUGAAGCUACCAAAUUGCACAGCCUGCCCUUGGGCGUUGCAGUGAGGGAAUGUUAAAAUAAGGGCUGCACCCGGAGAAGUUCUUGUGGAUAUGGUUUCGGACAGGGGUUCGACUCCCCUCGCCUCCACCA